UGCGUAGGUGGUUUGUUAAGUCUGAUGUGAAAGCCCUGGGCUCAACCUGGGAACGGCAUUGGAAACUGGCUUACUAGAGUGCGGUAGAGGGGUGUGGAAUUCCCGGUGUAGCAGUGAAAUGCGUAGAUAUCGGGAGGAACAUCCGUGGCGAAGGCGACACCCUGGACCAGCACUGACACUGAGGCACGAAAGCGUGGGAGCAAACA
rnacentral:rRNA from 1 species